AUCAGACUGUCAUUUCUACCGUUUUCACCCUAAGAAAAGAGUUCUUUGGGGUCAGUUAUGCAGAAGAGCUGAUAAAGAGCCUAGUGACCAGAAUGACAGGAUUUGUUCUUGUCAUUUUAAAGAUGGUGUUAAAGAGGGUGACCCUAUCUACUUCCAGCAUAACUCUGGAAAGCACAUGGAUUUUCCUGAUCCAGAACACCACAAAAGAAAAAGAACAUGUCAUUCAACUGAAACUAAGUCAAUAGAGGA